UGUGUGGCUGUAAGUCGCUCACUUGCCA
rnacentral:sRNA from 1 species